rnacentral:lncRNA from 1 species
CAAUAAUCACUUAAUUACCAUAUUUUCAAUUCAUAAUUUUUUCAAAUCCAACAAAAAUAGAAAAAACAAACCAGAAAUAAAUUAAACUGACCCACACCACACCACGACACCUAACCCAUGGCAUACUUUUGGGUCCAGCUUCGAGCCGUGGUCUCAUAUUUGCUCCUAUCGGUCUUAUACAUAUGGGCAAUCUCAGGGACCAAAGGGUCAUCGGGGUUAGGGUCUGUCAAUAAUGAGCAUAUCGACAGCAAAACCUAAUAAUAAUACAAAAAAAUGUCAACCUACUUUAUUUUUUUUUUAAUCCAUAAUAACAAUAUACUUACACAUUUAUUUUAAUUUUUAAUCACACUUUCUUGCUUGAUAAUAGCAAUAUGUAACUCAUAAUUGCAUUGUACAUACAAUUGCAACAUGCUUGCAACUUUACUCGAGUUAUCAAUGAUUUUAUGAUACGAAAUAUUCAAAUUAUCUUUACAACCCUUUUAACUCUUUUUUUUUUAAAAAGAGUGAGUUGUAAAAAAGUUUUUGAACCUUUUUAAACCCUUUUAUGAAUCAUUCUUUUUAAAGAUUUUUACUUACGUUUUAGCAUUUUUUAACCUUUUGCUUAUGUUUUUUCAACCUUACUAGGUUGUAAAAAAGUUUUAAAAUGCUUGUAAAAAAAUUGUAAAAAAUCUAAAAAGUUAUAUAAAAUAGUUUUAAAUGGUUGAAAAUAAGGUUAUAAAAAAAAUGUUGUAAAAAAUUUUAAAAAAAAAAACUGUGUAAAAAGUCUAAAAAUUUAUAAAAAAGAUGUAAAAGAAGUGUUUUUGUUAAAAAAAUAUUGUAAAAUAAGUUUAAAAAAUUGUGUGAAAAGUCAAAAAAUUUAAAUAGAAAAAAGUUUAAAAAAGGGUUGUAAAAAAGUUUACAAAUUCAUUAUAGUACAGUAUUUAAAAAAAAAAUUAAGACUUUGCACAAACUUUUUAUAGACUUUUUAUAACUUAUUUUAUAAAUUAUUUCAAAACCUUUUAUAAAAAAAAAUACAACUCUUUAACUAAUUUUUACAACUUUUUUUAAAACGAUUUUUUUACUAUUUAAACAUUUUUAACUAUUUUUAAACUUGAUUUAAACCAUUUUUGAACUAUUUUUACAACCUUUUAACUCUUUUAUAUAAAAGAGUAAACUGUAAAAAACUUUUUGAAACUUACUAAACCUCUAGAAAAAUCAUCGUUUUUAAACACUUUUACUUACAUUUCAACAUUUUUCAACCUUUUGCUUACGUUUUUUCAACCUUCAUAGGUUGUAAAAAAAAGUUUAAAAAGGUUGUAAUUUUUUUUUAAAAGCCGUAAAAAAUAUUGUAAAACAAGUUUAAAAAACUGCGUAAAAAGUCUAAAAAUUUAUAAAAAAGUUAAAAAGGUUGUAAAAAAGUUUUCUUUUUAUUUUUUAAAGUUUGUAAAAGAAGUCUACAAAAAUUUUGUGCAAAAAGUCGUUUAAAUUUGUAAAAAAAGAAUAAUUUUGAGACAAUUUUGUAAAAAAGACUAUAAACCAAAUUUGUAGAAAAGUUUAAAACUUGGGCCGAAAGUGUAAAUAGGUAAAUGAUUUGGUAAACUUGUAAAAGCAGGUCAAAACAAAUAAACCCUAAGUUCAUUACCAUCUUACACAAUAAAUGUGAUUUGUUAGCAAAUUGAACACAAUUUAAAUAGUUUGUUUCAUAAAAUCAGUGAGAACCCUUUUUACUCAUAAUAACACACUCAAAAUUCUUUAUUGGUGAGUAGGUUUCUAUUAUAGGUUAAAAAAAUGCAUUGCUAUUAUUGCUUGGUUGUGAUUCAUUGGGUAGAUGGUGACAAAAAAUGGAAAGAGCCCACAAAAUAGAAAAAUAUCAUGAAAUAGGGCCCCACUUACCUUGGAAAUGGUGAGAGCUGGGCUCCAUUGUUCCUUCAAAAUAUCAAGGCAAAUGCUUCCAUUGCUGUUGAUGUUUGGGUGGAAAACCUUUGUCCUGAAAGCUACCUAUCAAAGGACAUAAAUGUAACAAUGGUGAAAAGGGCAUUCACGUCUUUUGCACAUACAAUAGAGACAGAAAACAAGUCUCUAUCACAAUAAUUGCAACUUUUGUUUUAUCCAAUGCGCGUCUCUAAGUCAAGCACAGUACAACCUGUUCUGUUCUGUUAUGUCUAGUGAGACAUGCUCUAUUAGAGAAAAUUGACAAAUCUUGAAAAAUCAAAAUUAUUUGAGGAUAUAAAACAAAGAUGAUUACCUUAGGUGGCUUAAAUGGAUAAUCUGGUGGAAAAUGAAUAGUAACUAGAAACACUCCACCAGAAUAAGGACUAUCAGGAGGACCCAUAAUGGUUGCUUGCCAAUGAAACAUGUCUUCAGCCACAGGGCCUAAAAUCCCAUUACACAAUUAAGGGAUUUCAAUAAAGAUCCACAUGUAUAACUCACAUUCAUAAAAUUUUCAAUUAAGAACAUAUUAUUUACUUAAUAGUUAACACUCAUUGUUCUUUAAUAAAUCAGGUUUUGUACAUUCUACUUGUGAUUUGCCUCUGAACUUUCAGCCCAGUGAAAGAGACAGCUUACUUAUCAAGUUAUCAUCAUUUCAAUUUUCAUGAAAGAGACAGCUAAUUUAGGGAUAUCCAAUAAUUGAAAAAAACUCAAACUCCUGCUACUAAAAUUUUCUAACCACCAUUCCAGAAAAGUCUCUGAUUACAUUUAUAAACCCUAAUCAAGGUGGAUUGGGAGGAUCUCAUCUAGAAACUAAACAUAAAGAGGGUGAUUGGAUUCUGUAAUCAUUUUAAACCUCAAAGUUGAACUAAAAAGUUAGUUACUCCGCAGCUUUUAUCAACAAACUUAUACAUCAAUAUCCUUCACCUACCUUCAUAAAAAAGCAGCUUAUUUACCUAACGAUCAAACCAUGGAUCCCUAAUUCUCAACCUAAAUGGAUAAUCGGGAGCAUAAAGCUACGUACAUAACAAAUAUAAACAUAUAGGACACGAAUCAAUAUCCAAAACUUCACAAAGCCGCUAAAAUCAGGAUCUAAACAGAUCGAUAGCGAUGCAAUACCUGCGCUGCAAGAGGUGGGAGGAUCUUUCUGAAGAUCCUUGAGUUCUUUCAAGAUCCGCUUCGAAGCCAUCACUGAUCAGGACAAGGAAUUC